rnacentral:tRNA from 1 species
AUUUCUUUAGUAUAAUCAAGUACACUUAACUUCCAAUUAAAAAGUCACAAGAAAUA